UACGUAGGGGGCAAGCGUUGUCCGGAAUCAUUGGGCGUAAAGAGCGCGUAGGCGGUCCGGUAAGUCCGCUGUGAAAGUCGAGGGCUCAACCCUCGAAUGCCGGUGGAUACUGCCGGGCUAGAGUCCGGAAGAGGCGAGUGGAAUUCCUGGUGUAGCGGUGAAAUGCGCAGAUAUCAGGAGGAACACCGAUGGCGAAGGCAGCUCGCUGGGACGGUACUGACGCUGAGGCGCGAAAGCGUGGGGAGCAAACAGG
rnacentral:rRNA from 1 species